UACGCAGGUGGCAAGCGUUGUUCGGAUUUACUGGGCGUACAGGGAGCGUAGGCGGUUGGGUAAGCCCUUCGUGAAAUCUCCGGGCCUAACCCGGAAAGUGCGGAGGGGACUGCUCGGCUAGAGGAUGGGAGAGGAGCGCGGAAUUCCCGGUGUAGCGGUGAAAUGCGUAGAGAUCGGGAGGAAGGCCGGUGGCGAAGGCGGCGCUCUGGAACAUUUCUGACGCUGAGGCUCGAAAGCGUGGGGAGCAAACAGG
rnacentral:rRNA from 1 species